UGGGGAAUAUUGCACAAUGGGCGCAAGCCUGAUGCAGCCAUGCCGCGUGUGUGAAGAAGGCCUUCGGGUUGUAAAGCACUUUCAGCGGGGAGGAAGGCGGUGAGGUUAAUAACCUCAUCGAUUGACGUUACCCGCAGAAGAAGCACCGGCUAACUCCGUGCCAGCAGCCGCGGUAAUACGGAGGGUGCAAGCGUUAAUCGGAAUUACUGGGCGUAAAGCGCACGCUGGCGGUCUGUCAAGUCGGAUGUGAAAUCCCCGGGCUCAACCUGGGAACUGCAUUCGAAACUGGCAGGCUAGAGUCUUGUAGAGGGGGGUAGAAUUCCAGGUGGAGCGGUGAAAUGCGUAGAGAUCUGGAGGAAUACCGGUGGCGAAGGCGGCCCCCUGGACAAAGACUGACGCUCAGGUGCGAAAGCGUGGGGAGCAAACAGG
rnacentral:rRNA from 1 species